rnacentral:rRNA from 1 species
AGCUUGCUCUUAUGAAGUUAGCGGCGGACGGGUGAGUAACACGUGGGUAACCUGCCCAUAAGACUGGGAUAACUCCGGGAAACCGGGGCUAAUACCGGAUAACAUUUUGAACCGCAUGGUUCGAAAUUGAAAGGCGGCUUCGGCUGUCACUUAUGGAUGGACCCGCGUCGCAUUAGCUAGUUGGUGAGGUAACGGCUCACCAAGGCAACGAUGCGUAGCCGACCUGAGAGGGUGAUCGGCCACACUGGGACUGAGACACGGCCCAGACUCCUACGGGAGGCAGCAGUAGGGAAUCUUCCGCAAUGGACGAAAGUCUGACGGAGCAACGCCGCGUGAGUGAUGAAGGCUUUCGGGUCGUAAAACUCUGUUGUUAGGGAAGAACAAGUGCUAGUUGAAUAAGCUGGCACCUUGACGGUACCUAACCAGAAAGCCACGGCUAACUACGUGCCAGCAGCCGCGGUAAUACGUAGGUGGCAAGCGUUUAUCCGGAAUUAUUGGGCGUAAAGCGCGCGCAGGUGGUUUCUUAAGUCUGAUGUGAAAGCCCACGGCUCAACCGUGGGAGGGUCAUUUGGAAACUGGGAGACUUGAGUGCAGAAGAGGAAAGUGGGAAUUCCAUGUGUAGCGGGUGAAAAUGCGUAGAGAUAUGGGAGGAACACCAGUGGCGAAGGCGACUUUCUGGUCUGUAACUGACACUGAGGCGCGAAA